GCGGGUAUAGCUCAGUGGAAGAGUGUGUGCUUAGCAUGCACGAGGUCCUAGGUUCAAUCCCCAGUACCUUCA
rnacentral:tRNA from 1 species